GUGCGGGUUUGCUUCGCUUGUGGAUGCAGCAUUUCACUACAAAGAAAGACUAAUUCUUUCAGGUAAGAUUCACGAAACUUUUUUAUAACUUUCUAGAGUCACUAGACCCUUCGAUUAUGUUAUGUCAAAAACUCGUCAUCCUAACAUAUACAGCAAAUAUUUCAAUAGGGGCCAUAAAAGUAUUGUUAACGACCAAACAUUGUGUACAUGAAAUUAUGUUGUUUUGUGUCAGCACUGGCCUUUGUGGUUUUAUUGCCAGUUUUUAAUUUAUACUAAAAAUUGUGGUUGUUUACAUGUUCAUAUAUUUUAAAACGUUUAUUAAAUAUGGU